rnacentral:rRNA from 1 species
AGUAGGACGCACAGUUUAUACCGUAGCUUGCUACACCAUAGACUGUGAGUUGCGAACGGGUGAGUAACGCGUAGGUAACCUGCCUAUUAGAGGGGGAUAACUAUUGGAAACGAUAGCUAAUACCGCAUAACAGUAUGUAACACAUGUUAGAUGCUUGAAAGAUGCAAUUGCAUCGCUAGUAGAUGGACCUGCGUUGUAUUAGCUAGUAGGUAGGGUAAUGGCCUACCUAGGCGACGAUACAUAGCCGACCUGAGAGGGUGAUCGGCCACACUGGGACUGAGACACGGCCCAGACUCCUACGGGAGGCAGCAGUAGGGAAUCUUCGGCAAUGGGGGGAACCCUGACCGAGCAACGCCGCGUGAGUGAAGAAGGUUUUCGGAUCGUAAAGCUCUGUUGUUAAGGAAGAACGAGUGUGAGAAUGGAAAGUUCAUACUGUGACGGUACUUAACCAGAAAGGGACGGCUAACUACGUGCCAGCAGCCGCGGUAAUACGUAGGUCCCGAGCGUUGUCCGGAUUUAUUGGGCGUAAAGCGAGCGCAGGCGGUUAGAAAAGUCUGAAGUGAAAGGCAGUGGCUCAACCAUUGUAGGCUUUGGAAACUGUUUAACUUGAGUGCAGAAGGGGAGAGUGGAAUUCCAUGUGUAGCGGUGAAAUGCGUAGAUAUAUGGAGGAACACCGGUGGCGAAAGCGGCUCUCUGGUCUGUAACUGACGCUGAGGCUCGAAAGCGUGGGGAGCGAACAGGAUUAGAUACCCUGGUAGUCCACGCCGUAAACGAUGAGUGCUAGGUGUUGGGUCCUUUUCGGGACUCAGUGCCGCAGCUAACGCAUUAAGCACUC